GCUAAAAAUGUCCCCAGACGUCAUCCAAGGUCCAUGAGAUUUCCCUCCUUUGUUGUAAGCCACCUACCUGAUGUUUCUGCCACUGUAUUUAGUAAUGGGUUUUUAAAAAUACGACUUUCUUGUUUUGUUACAGUAAACCCCUCCCUGGCCUGUUAUCAUGAUAGACCAUGGAAUCUGGAGUAAUCUAAAUUGUCUUCUUGGGUCAUGAGCACUCAUAUUUGGCUUCAGAAGACACAGUCCCUUUUUAAUUGAUAAUUGCAUUUUUUGAGUCAACAAAAGCAUCAGCUACACUCUAGGCAGCCUGUUCAACGAAGAGGCUGUGAAGAUGAGCCAGUCCCGUGUGGACCCCACACACGAGGCUCCGGCAGCUCUGCGUGAGGGAGGGACACACAGUACAAAGGUUUACAUAAACAUGCUGACGGCCAUCCUACUGAGCAUCGGCUGAGUCUCCGGUGUGAAGACUACCCAGUACCAGGAUCUCUCACUUGGGAAAUGAGAUUCCAUCAAAGAAGCUCCUGUGUGGAUGGACAUUAGGGCUGCUUCCGUGUCUGGGCCACCGUGAAUCACGCUGCCGUGAACACAGGCGAACAGUUUAUGGUCUCCUUAAACCUGGCUCCUGCCAAGUGCAACUUGAUGGAGCUCUCUAGCGACUCUAGCUACUCUGUAGCCGAGCCUCAGGGAGCAGUCCCGCGUGCCCUCUCUGACUCACCGUGGGUUGUGGGUUCAGUUUGCAGCCUGCCUGGGCGGGCCGCAGCAGGGGAACCGGCUUCUCUCCUCUCCUCUUCAGGAAGAGAAGCCACUGCAGCAUUAUAUUUCUUUGUUUCUGGGAAACAACUUUGCUUUGUUUUCUCCCAUUUGAGUCUUUGUUUCACCUAUGCAAAUGCGAUUCAUCGUUCAGUGCCGGAGAAGGGCCUUAAAUAACGUAAUUACCGCACCAAUCAUCUACUUGGCUCCUGGAAAGCAUCUUUUUAGUGAGGUCGAUUCCUGUUGCUUCAGCUCUAUACAGACCCCAAAUAAUGAGCAAACUUCCUUUCUUAACAUGCUAAUUAGUCUCUGAAACCAGCGUUCCUUUAAAGGGGUGAUUUAAUUGGAUAUUAAGUUUGCAAUUGAAAGAUUAGAUUAUGAAAUAAACAAACAUAUCCAUCUAAUAGGUCUUUGGAAAAAAAAUUCUAAGUAUUCUACUCAGGUUUUCCUGCAAAGUGCAAAUGCAUCCAGCUAUAUUGUUUAAUUCUCUGCCAUUUUGCUGAGUUUUGUAGCUCUCAACCUGAAUUCUUUCCUGGGCUGAUUCCAAAGAAAAUAAUCUCAGGAGGCUGAGUGAGCUUGGGAUCCAGUGCUGGCCCCCAAAUAACCUUUUGCUUAAAGACUUUACCUGGAUAAAUGAAAUUCAAGAAAUGUUGAGAAACCAUUUUGAAAUGAAUAAUAGCGAAACAAUUCCAAGGGGUAUAAUUUUGGAUGCAUUAAAGGUGAUGGUGAGAGAAUACAUUUGCCUCGCUGUACAUUUAAAGGAAAUCAAAGAUCAAAACAGGUGCAGGUUGCAGAAGGAAAUUAAGAAAUGAGCAGUACAUCAUAGCUCGUCCCAAAUCCCAGAUGAUGCUUUCAGAAAAUUAUUUCGAGGCAAAGUAAUGCAUUUUUAAAUAGAAGUGAAUAUAACCCCUCCUCCAGUUUACCAACUGGGCUUCCUGGGAACGGGAAAUAAAGAUGUGCAGCUCUUCAACCUAACAGUUUAAAAAGGUACGAGAAAGCAAUGAUCAUCUCCCUUAAAACAAGGACGCCUUUGGGAGAGUGGUCAUGCCAUCAGGAUGCCAGGGGAUCUUUGAACACAGGUGCCCAGGGUUAGGAGAUAGAAAGGAAUAUGCAUCAUCUGCAUCAUCUGCAUCAUCUGCACCAUCCUCAUCAUCCGCAUCAUCCCAAUCCUCGCUUUGCAUCACCAGAUGAAGCAACUCAGCCAGAGUGCAAGGACAGAGUGACCGUCUUCACCAUCUUCACAUCUAAUGAUAUCCUGAAGAAGAUAAUUGAGGGUGACACCUUAUGUGGAAUAUAUAUGCUUCCCACAGCCCGCGCUGCUUGGUGUCGGUCUCUGAAUUCAUAACACAAACGAACAGAAGACAAAAAUCGUUUGCAGAUUCUGAAAGGAAGGAUUUCGACAGGAGAGAUGUUUAGAACGUGCUAGUCUGGGAAGCUGGAGAGGAGGCGGUCCUUAAAACCAACCAAUCAAAGACCUGGAAAGGGAAGCUUCCCAAGCACCCGCCCCCUCGGGAACAUCUGCUCUCCCCCCCCCCCCCACACACACCCCAUUUACACCAAACUCACUUGUCAAUUUCCUCAGAGAAACUUGAAUGGAUUUUUCUAACCUGCCCCAACUCCAAAUUGAUCAGUUAAUUAAGCUGAUCUCUAGGAGGCUGUUGAGGAACGGGCUCUUUUCUCCUUUUAUGUUCUACAGUUCCAAAUAAACUCUUCAGAGGCACCCACCUCGGGCAGAGGAGCACUCCUUACUAAAAUCCUACUCCUUCUCCUCCUGCACACAAACAGACCCAGUGGUUAUCUGUUGCUAUUUAUUUACGAUUUAUUACUUUUAAAUAUACAAUUGUUGGGUUUUCCCAGGAUUGUUGUAUAUUUGCUGUCUUUAUUUGCUUUGAGGAUUCAAAAGGAACUGGUAGGUCACUAGCUGUGUGUGUGUGUGUGUGUGUGUGUGUGUGUGUGACUUGCUGCAGUGUUACAUUUUAAAGUCACUCCUUUGAUCUACAGGCAGGUGAGUGAUGAGGUAGUUGCUGUGUAUUGUAAUGCGAAGGAUCACCCUCCCAAGUUCUGGUUGCCCCCAGUGAGGAGAAAUCUUCACUUUCACCAAAUGAUGCUAUGUAAUCUUUCUCCCUAGGUUAUCCCUAGUUGGUCAAUAAAGAUGCCUACAGCCAAUCAAGUUGGUCCUGGGCUUGGGGUCU